rnacentral:rRNA from 1 species
GUGGGGAAUAUUGCACAAUGGGGGAAACCCUGAUGCAGCGACGCCGCGUGAGUGAAGAAGUAUUUCGGUACGUAAAGCUCUAUCAGCAAGGAAGAAAAUGACGGUACUUGACUAAGAAGCCCCGGCUAACUACGUGCCAGCAGCCGCGGUAAUACGUAGGGGGCAAGCGUUAUCCGGAUUUACUGGGUGUAAAGGGAGCGUAGACGGUAUGGUAAGUCAGAUGUGAAAGCCCGGGGCUCAACUCCGGGACUGCAUUUGAAACUAUCAGACUGGAGUGCAGGAGAGGUAAGUGGAAUUCCUAGUGUAGCGGUGAAAUGCGUAGAUAUUAGGAGGAACACCAGUGGCGAAGGCGGCUUACUGGACUGUAACUGACGUUGAGGCUCGAAAGCGUGGGAAGCAAACAGGAUUAGAAACCCGGGUAGUCC